rnacentral:rRNA from 1 species
CCUGAGAAACCCAAAAGAUCGAAUGGAGAGAUUCAUCGUCAGCUUAUUUUGUAUAUAUAUAAUAUAUGAUGUGGGUUACUAUAUUAUUUAGUAUUGCUUACACAUUGUUAUAUAUUUUAGUUGCAAGAUAUUGUCGGCGUGCACUUCUCUCCUAGUAGAACGUCGCGACCCGUUGAAUGUCGGUCUACGACCCAAAUUUGCAGUCUUUAAUAUUUAAAAUUAUAUUAAAAUAAUUUGGUGUUUUCUGACCGGCUAUUCGGCGGUAUACGUAUGGUAUUAAGCCGCAAUUAUAUGCGUCUAUUUCCAUCGCAAGCGAGGCCAAUUUCUGAUAGUACGGAUUUAAUGCCGUCGUUAGUAUUGUGCCAGCUGUUGGUUGUUACGGUUUUUUUCUAUGACUGGCUUAUAAUAAUUACCGGUCGGCGAUGCUACUGCUUUGGGUACUUUCAGG